CCUGCCCCUAGAGAUGUUGUCGAUGUGGCUGCUGUGUCCUUUAUGUGUCGGUAGGUGGCAGAGAAGAGAGAGUCUGUCUAUGCUCAGUGUUCUGACCUGAUUAGCCUACCAUU
rnacentral:snoRNA from 1 species